GCCAGCGCAAGACGUGUGCACUCUGCUUAUGUCCCAUCCACGUGGGGGGCGAGGCAUGGUAUGCACAUUUGUCCCAUUGCAUGCAGACAGGCAUGGCACCAUGCACCCUGUACGCACAGUGCCCUACGCGCACAACGAGCUAGGCUUGUGGUGUGUGGCAGGCUAGAGUAGCAUGCACUAUCUCAAGCAGUGCACACCGCCCCCUUCGGGCACCGUGCGCCGCCUUCAAGUGCAGUACGCUGCCGAUUGGGCGGCGUACUGCUGUUGUUUGGGUGGCAUGCCUUUGAUUUUUAUGCGCUAUUGCCCAUCAGUUACACUCGUCGGUCAUCACAUAUCACUUU
rnacentral:lncRNA from 1 species